GAAAAUAUUCGUUUUUCAAGAUUCCGUUGAUUAAAAAAUAACACACUUUAUUAUCAGAAGGAAAUUAAUAAAAAAAUUUGAGAUAAAUUUCCUUAAAAUUCACGUUGAAGUUCUUAAUUAUUCAUAAUCAAUUAUAUUUAAACACCAAGACUAGACUUUAACAGUAACACCUUAAUAUCAUAGAAGACUUCUUUUCCUUUAGCUAUCCCUUAAGUAUAAUAACAAGAGUUCAAACUGCUCCAGAUUUUAAUUGAAGCACAAAUGUCUAAAACUAUUCAAGUUGAUACUCAACUUGGAUUUACCUUCACCCUCUUCAACAUGCGUGUGUAAUACUAGAUUUAAAUCAGAAAAUUGUUGGGAGCAGUUUGUGUGAAACGUACCAUUGACUUUGGGGAUGGGGUGCACUUCGGUUGCUGGAGUUGGUCAUGAUGUACUGUUUAACACAAUAGAAGUCUCAUGAUUCAAUUAAUGGAACAAAUGGAACUUCAUUAAUAUCUGGAGCAAAACCACCCCUAGAUUUCAAUGACUACUGUUACACUUCAGUCUUAUUUGAAUUUCCAUGGUGAAUAAACAUAGAUUUCAACAUUGUCAAGGACUGACUUUAUUUAUUGAUCAGGAAAAAGAACAUUGUUACAUCAAUUCUGAGAAUUUCAUUCAGUAUUCAUGCUUUAUAUGGAAAGAUGGACAGAAAUAUGUCCCUGAUAAAACCAUAUCUAACCUGGCAAAAUUCUUCAAACAGAAGAUUGAUAGACAUGACAUUAUAAAAAGUAUUCUUCGGUCAUUUUUAUCGACUUCAUAUUAUCAUGUCCCAUCUCCAGUAUAAACCAGUAUACCUCAUUCCACUUGGUUUUUAUCCUGUGUUGAACCUUGCUAAAUUGAUUAUAACUUCAGUUUGAACCCCACUGAUAAGAAAUCAUCCAUUUUCUUGGUAUUUGUCUUCCUCUUCUCCAUCUCCAGUGCUUGCUUCUUCUCCACCUCCUCAGUACCAUCAUCGAGUGGAACAAGGCUUCCCACGUACAUUUCUGCACCAAAAGACUUCGGACCGCCCCUAAUCUUCAAAGUCCUAACAGUUCUCCUAUUCCAAUCAUACCAUACAAGCUUUUGAUCAUUCACUUCUAAUAGCAUCUUAUCCCCAUCUUUUGAAUAAGCCAAAGGCCUCAAAAACAUAAAAGCACUAAUGGAUUUAGUUGUUCGAAAUGAAAACAGCUUAAUCCAGGAUUCCUUAAUUCCAUACUCCCGCAUAACCCACAAAUCAACACAAAUAUGUUCAUAAUUACACAUCACACACAACCUCCCCUCCAAGACCCCAACAUCAACCUGAAAGUUUAACCUGUUAUUGGCAUAUUCAGGCUGGGGCACUUCACGGAACAUCUCAGACACAAUAUCAAAAGCAAUAAUAGAACUUUUCACACCCAAUUCCGGCCAGUGAGGCAAAAUCCAAUGCAAAGCAUUAGAAGCAAAAACUCCAUAUCCUCUCCUAUGCAAAACCUGGAAAAAUGGUUUAUGCAAGAACCUAAGAUAUUUAGGCAAGCCCUUUAUUCUCUUCCACGACUCACUUUUCAGACUAUAAAUCUUCACCUCAUAAUCGUAAUCGAAAGACUCACACCUAUCAUCAUCCCCAACAAAAGUAACCAUUCUAACUAGUUUAUAGUCUUCAUUAAUCGAAUCAUAACCAAAGCCAUAAAACACAUACCCAGUUUUCAAAUACCUAUCGGGCGGCUCAAUCUCUGAAGCUGGCACUCUUUUCAGCUUUCUUGUUGCUAUGUUAUACAAGGCUAGAUCUCGCUCAGAAUUUCGCAACGCAACCAACCCAUUACACGAACCGAUGGCUUCAGUCCCGCCACCCACAUGUAAAGGGUGUUCGAGGGAUUCCGCGGAGCCAAUGGCGGAAGCAGCAACAUCAAGAGAAUCAAAAUCGACGGUAUAGAGAUUCCAAUCUCGAAGGAUGAGAGAGAGAUUGGAUCUGGUAUGAAGUGAAUGGGAGAGAUGGAGUUGAAUGAAAUUUGGACCAUUAAUUAAUGAGCAGAGAGGUUUUGAUAAGCAUCGGAAGCGGAGAAGAGCCUUGAUAGGGAGCUGAAGGAGGAUGUCGUUGAUGAUAUCCUGAGGGACUUUGGACAUUUUUCCUUUCUGUCAGUGUUUGGCUGAGAGGAAAAUGGAAGGGAAAGAAGGAAGAGAGAAAAUAAGGAGGUGGAAACCAUAAAUAGAUUAGGUUUUUGAAAGGUGCUUCGGUUGGGGAAAGGAACAGACAGAUGGCGAAUUGCAUGGGUAGAUGCUUCCAGAUAACACCAU
rnacentral:misc_RNA from 1 species